rnacentral:tRNA from 1 species
GCUGCUUUGGCACAGGUGGUAGCGCACAUCAUUGGUAGUGAUGAGGUCCCGGGUCCGAGUCCCGGAAGCAGCU